CAGGGGGUACGGGGGCAUCCUGUAGGGGGGCGGUGUGAGACAGCCUUGUUGGGACGAAAUAGGCUGUUGGGGUAGAGGUUUUGGGGGUGGAACCGGUUUGUAGGGCCCAUAACCUUCCACCUCAACUGCAACAAAGACACAAGUUGUCAAUUUUUUUUUUGACAAAUGCGCCAAAAACUCAUCGUCACAUUUUUCCUAAUUUUAAUUCGUCCAAAUUUCGCACUAAAAUGCUACGAGUGUCAGGGCAUGGCCCAGUGUGAGUCGCGUAAAUGGAACAUUACGACGUGCCGGAAAAAUGUUGCUUCAUGUUUUAGUGUCGUUGAUUUGAAAGCGGGGGAGGUACGGAAGGGAUGCAAAACUCGCGAGUAUAAUAUUUACAGAUGUGAGGAGAUAAACACCUCUUUGGCGUUUUGCACAUUCUGCAGAGGGGAACGGUGCAAGAUUUGUGAAAAAGAUUUGUGCAAUGCUAGUACCAAACACUCUCCUCGAAAUCAUCUAGUACUACUGGCAAUUUUUAUAAUUUGCUUGUCGCAGUUUUACGAAGAAAAUGAUUUCUAAAACUUAAA